CGCCGCUGGCGAGGCUGGUACCGGUGCCGCUGGCGCUGGCGCUGGCGCUGGCGGGGCUGGUACCGAAGCCGGCACCGGUGGC
rnacentral:tRNA from 1 species